rnacentral:rRNA from 1 species
CAUGGAGCCGACCUUGAAAUACCACCCUUUAAUGUUUGAUGUUCUAACGUGGAUCCGUGAUCCGGGUUGCGGACAGUGUCUGGUGGGUAGUUUGACUGGGGCGGUCUCCUCCUAAAGAGUAACGGAGGAGCACGAAGGUUGGCUAAUCCUGGUCGGACAUCAGGAGGUUAGUGCAAUGGCAUAAGCCAGCUUGACUGCGAGCGUGACGGCGCGAGCAGGUGCGAAAGCAGGUCAUAGUGAUCCGGUGGUUCUGAAUGGAAGGGCCAUCGCUCAACGGAUAAAAGGUACUCCGGGGAUAACAGGCUGAUACCGCCCAAGAGUUCAUAUCGACGGCGGUGUUUGGCACCUCGAUGUCGGCUCAUCACAUCCUGGGGCUGAAGUAGGUCCCAAGGGUAUGGCUGUUCGCCAUUUAAAGUGGUACGCGAGCUGGGUUUAGAACGUCGUGAGACAGUUCGGUCCCUAUCUGCCGUGGGCGCUGGAGAACUGAGGGGGGCUGCUCCUAGUACGAGAGGACCGGAGUGGACGCAUCACUGGUGUUCGGGUUGUCAUGCCAAUGGCACUGCCCGGUAGCUAAAUGCGGAAGAGAUAAGUGCUGAAAGCAUCUAAGCACGAAACUUGCCCCGA